rnacentral:rRNA from 1 species
GCAUAUCAAUAAGCGGAAGGAAACUAACAAGGAUUCCCCUAGUAACGGCGAGUGAAGCGGGAAGAGCUCAAAUUUGAAAGCUGGCCGCAAGGUCCGCAUUGUAAACUCGAGAAGUGUUUUCCGCGCUGGACUGUGUACAAGUCCCUUGGAAUAGGGCGUCGUAGAGGGUGAGAAUCCCGUACUUGAUGCAGCCCCCAGUGCUUUGUGAUACACUCUCCACGAGUCGAGUUGUUUGGGAAUGCAGCUCAAAAUGGGUGGUAAAUUCCAUCUAAAGCUAAAUAUUGGGGAGAGACCGAUAGCGAACAAGUACCGUGAGGGAAAGAUGAAAAGCACUUUGGAAAGAGAGUUAAACAGUACGUGAAAUUGUCGAAAGGGAAGCGCUUGAAGUCAGCCAUGCUGGCCGGGAUUCAGCCAUGCUUUUGCUAGGUGUAUUUCCCGGUGUUGCAGGCCAGCAUCGGUUUUGGCUGCUGGAUAAGGGUAGGAGAAAGGUAGCACCCUCGGGUGUGUUAUAGUCUCUUGCUGGAUACAGCGGCUGGGACCGAGGAACGCAGUGCGCCCGCAAGGGUGGGUCUUCGGACACCUUCGCACUUUGGAUGCUGGCAUAAUGGCUUUAAGCGACCCGUCUUGAAACACGGACCAAGGAGUCUAACAUGUUUGCGAGUCUUUGGGUGGCAAACCCGAGGGCGCAAUGAAAGUGAAUGCAGGUGGGAUCCGCAAGGAGCACCAUCGACCGAUCCAGAUCUUCUGUGACGGAUUUGAGUAAGAGCAAUUAUGUUGGGACCCGAAAGAUGGUGAACUAUGCCUGUAUAGGGCGAAGCCAGAGGAAACUCUGGUGGAGGCUCGUAGCGGUUCUGACGUGCAAAUCGAUCGUCAAAUAUGGGUAUAGGGGCGAAAGACUAAUCGAACCAUCUAGUAGCUGGUUCCUGCCGAA